rnacentral:rRNA from 1 species
GAAUAUUAGUCAAUGCUCGAAAGAGUGAACUAGCUAACUGAAAUCAAUUAUAAUAAUUGAUAACAUAAGGGAAAAUAAUGAUAUUACCUUAUUAUUAGUGUCGUCCAAAUCUGGUGCCAGAAGACUCGGUAAGGCCAGAGACACAAACGUUAAUCGUCUUAAUCAGGCGUAAAGGGUUUGUAGGCGGCUUUAAAAUUUACUAAAAACAAAAAAAUUUUUAUUUAAUUAAAUAAGUAAAGAUUAAAAGCUAGAAUUAAAUAGAGGAUAUAUGAAAUAAUGCUUAGAGUAGGUCUGAUAUCCUUAGAUACUAAGUAGAAUAUUAAAGGCGAAAGCUUUUUUCCAUUAAUGAUUGACGCUCAGAAACGAAGGUGAGGAUAGGAAAUAGGAUUAGAUACCCAGAAUACCCCUCUCUGUCAACGAUGAAUGGUAGUUAUUAAUAAAAUUUAUUAAUGGCAAUGUUAACACGAUAACCAUUCCGCCUUGUGAGUACAACUGCAAAGUUGAAAACAAAAAAAUUAGUCGGUUUCGGAGCAAACGAAGUGAAGCAUGUUAUUUAAUUC